rnacentral:misc_RNA from 1 species
GAUGAAGAACGUAGCGAAGUGCGAUAAGUAUUGUGAAUUGCAGAAUUCCGUGAAUCAUCGAAUCUUUGAACGCAAAUUGCACUCUCUGGUAUUCCGGAGAGUAUGCCUGUUUGAGGGUCGGUAAAAUGAAAAUUCGUUGUCUCGCUUUUUUGCGUCUUGACGGAAUUGGGUCUUCUUAACCCUUACGGGUUCAAGUGAUCUAAAAUUCAUUUUUAAAUUACUUCGGUAUGAUUGCGUACAUAAUAAUUUUUUGUCGCUUGAGUAUCAAAGGUUCUUAUUAGGCGAGACCAUCUUGUUGGAAUCGCGCCUAUAAUAUUUCGAAAAACGACCUCAAAUCAGGUAGGAGGACCCGCUGAACUUAAGCAUAUCAAUAAGCGGAGGA